GUGGGGGUGCUGGAGUGGUCAAACAGGCAGGACUUAAGACUUAAAAGAAAUUUUAGGUAAGAGAUCCUGUAGCUUAGUGCUUACGCAGGUCCGAAUCCUGUCCCUCACA
rnacentral:tRNA from 1 species